AACGGAGGGGGCGAGCGUUAUUCAUCGUUAUUGGGCGUAAAGGGUAUGUAGGCGAUUUGUUAUGUUGUAUCAGUAAAAAACCAGCUUUAAGUAUGGUACGUGCUAGAACAUAAAAAUUAGAAAAAUUACAAAGUUGGCAGAAUUACUAAUGUAGAGGUAAAAAUUCGGAAAUAUUAGUAGGAAUACCAAAGGCGAAAGCAGCUUUCUUGUGUUUUUGACGCUGAUGUACUAAAGCAUGGGGAUCAAACAGG
rnacentral:rRNA from 1 species